UUCUCAUUGACUUCAGUGGAAGAAAGACUGGGCCCUAAGGCUUUUAUAUCUGCCAAGCACUCAAAGGUGGGAUACUCUCUGGCUGCAAGUUGAAGCUAGACACAUUCAUCAGACUGGAAAUACGAUAUAUGCUCUAGUUCAAAAGGAACAAUGUCCAAUCUUGAACUUGAAGACAGACUGGAUGAUCACAGUAGUCCCUUCUGGCAAUGGAUUCAAUUAAUAUAUUAGAAUCAUCCAUCAGUCCAGUUUUCCACAGUCCCCAUUCCUGAAUGGUACGGUAAUGAAGAUUCCCUCGAGAGUGAAAAGCUUUGUAUUCAUGUCAAGCGCUGCAGAAAUAUUUCAAGAUAAAACCAAGGGAGAGUGCUCUGGUAAGGAUUUCUGCUAUGUGCUAGAGAAGCUGUCUCUUUUAGUUGACUUUGUUUACCAGCAUUCUAUCAUUAGGAACUAUUAUUU